GACGUAGGGGGCGAGCGUUGUCCGGAUUUAUUGGGCGUAAAGCGUGCGUAGGCGGCUGCGCAAGUCGGUUGUGAAACCCCGGGGCUCAACCCCGGAACUGCAUCCGAUACUGCGUGGCUAGAGGUAGGUAUGGGAGAUCGGAAUUCCUGGUGUAGCGGUGAAAUGCGCAGAUAUCAGGAGGAACACCGGUGGCGAAGGCGGAUCUCUGGGCCUUACCUGACGCUCAGGCACGAAAGCUAGGGGAGCGAACAGG
rnacentral:rRNA from 1 species